GAUGAACGCUGGCGGCGUGCCUAAUACAUUCAAGUCGAGCGAACAGACGAGGAGCUUGCUCCUCUGACGUUAUCGGCGGACGGGUGAGUAACACGUGGAUAACCUACCUAUAAGACUGGGAUAACUUCGGGAAACCGGAGCUAAUACCGGAUAAUAUAUUGAACCGCAUGUUUCAAUAGUGAAAGACGGUUUUGCUGUCACUUAUAGAUGGAUCCGCGCCGCAUUAGCUAGUUUGUAAGUUAACGGCUUACCAAGGCAACGAUGCGUAGCCGACCUGAGAGGGUGAGCGGCCACACGGGAACUGAGACACGGUCCAGACUCCUACGGGAGGCAGCAGUAGGGAAUCUUACGCAAUGGGCGAAAGCCGGACGGAGCAACGCAGAGUGAGUGAUGAAGGUCUUCGGAUCGUAAAACUCUGUUAUGAGGGAAGAACAAAUGUGUAAGUAACUAUGCACGUCUUGACGGUACCUAAUCAGAAAGCCACGGAUAACUACGUG
rnacentral:rRNA from 1 species